rnacentral:rRNA from 1 species
CGUACCGGAAGCUUUACACAUGCAAGUCGACGGAAUCUUUAGGGAUUUAGUGGCGGACGGGUGAGUAACGCGUGAGAAUCUGGCUUCAGGUCUGGGACAACCACUGGAAACGGUGGCUAAUACCGGAUGUGCCGAGAGGUGAAAGGCUUGCUGCCUGAAGAUGAGCUUGCGUCUGAUUAGCUAGUUGGUGGGGUAAGAGCCUACCAAGGCGACGAUCAGUAGCUGGUCUGAGAGGAUGAUCAGCCACACUGGGACUGAGACACGGCCCAGACUCCUACGGGAGGCAGCAGUGGGGAAUUUUCCGCAAUGGGCGAAAGCCUGACGGAGCAAUACCGCGUGAGGGAGGAAGGCUCUUGGGUUGUAAACCUCUUUUCUCAGGGAAGAAAAAAAUGACGGUACCUGAGGAAUAAGCAUCGGCUAACUCCGUGCCAGCAGCCGCGGUAAUACGGAGGAUGCAAGCGUUAUCCGGAAUGAUUGGGCGUAAAGGGUCCGCAGGUGGCUGUGUAAGUCUGCUGUUAAAUAGUCAUGCUCAACAUGAUAAAGGCAGUGGAAACUACAUAGCUAGAGUGCGUUCGGGGCAGAGGGAAUUCCUGGUGUAGCGGUGAAAUGCGUAGAAAAA